rnacentral:rRNA from 1 species
UACGUAGGGGGCAAGCGUUGUCCGGAAUCAUUGGGCGUAAAGAGCGUGUAGGCGGCUCGAUAAGUCCGCUGUGAAAGUCCAGGGCUCAACCCUGGAAGGCCGGUGGAAACUGUCGGGCUAGAGUCCGGAAGAGGCGAGUGGAAUUCCCGGUGUAGCGGUGAAAUGCGCAGAUAUCGGGAGGAACACCAAUGGCGAAGGCGGCUCACUGGACCGGAACUGACGCUGAGGCGCGAAAGCGUGGGGAGCAAACGGG